UACAGAGGUCCCAAGCGUUGUUCGGAUUCACUGGGCGUAAAGGGUGCGUAGGCGGGUUUUUAAGUCAGGGGUGAAAUCCUGGAGCUCAACUCCAGAACUGCCUUUGAUACUGGGGAUCUUGAGUACGGGAGAGGUGAGUGGAACUGCGAGUGUAGAGGUGAAAUUCGUAGAUAUUCGCAAGAACACCAGUGGCGAAGGCGGCUCACUGGCCCGUAACUGACGCUGAGGCACGAAAGCGUGGGGAGCAAACAGG
rnacentral:rRNA from 1 species